rnacentral:lncRNA from 1 species
GCCCUCUGUCCCCCAGGACUCUGUAUUCAACCCUGGCUGACUGUGGUGGGCAGGAAUGUGGACCCACCAUAAAAUGGGUCCCAUUUUUUCAAGAAAAUCCACAAAUUCAGAUUGUGAUGUGAAAUCUCUUAAUUUUUAAGGAAUGCUAAUUAAUGUUUAAAAAUUUGAACAUCUGUAAAUGAAGUAUCUUGCUUGGUGAACAGACUGCUCUGGGUCCUUAUGUGUGAACCUUGGCAUGAGCCAAGCAGGGCCUAGGCCUGGUGGGGACUGGAAGUGGAGAAGGACCCCAUGAGAGGCAGAGAUGGCUCUUGCGAUGACAGCCUGCUCCUUCCUGUGAUACUUCCAGGCAGGCCAUUGGAUGGAUGGCUGGGGCUGGGGAAGGCCUCCCUGGAGGGCCCUCACCAUGUAGGUCACUGCGGCUACUUUGUAGGCAACAGUCUGGGUGGAGAGAUCCACUAGGCUGAGCAGAUCUUGGGCAGAGGCAGUGUAAGCCAGUAUCCGACCUGCCAAGAACCCCAGGCACCAGAGAGAUGUCCUAGACUCUGGCUGACAGUGCUGUUCUGUUUGGGAACAAAGACCACAUGACUUUGAAGGACAGAUUUGUCACAAUGACAAGAAGAUGACAUUUCUGUUUGGCCUUCAGUCAGCUUGCCAGGUAAGUCCUGCCUGGUUCUGGAACUCCCCACAUGCCUUGCCCUGCAUGGUUUGUCUUUGAGGAUGAACUCUGUUCCUGUGCACAGCCAGGGAGGGAAAGGGCAAGACCAGCCUUAGGCAGUCUGAGUUUGGUUGUGAGCCCUGCCAUGAACUUUCCAUGUGACUCUAGACAGUUUCUCCUGACCUUGGGGCUUGAUUUGCUCAUCUGUACAUGGGGUUAGGAAUUGGAAUAGAUUGUGUCUUGGGGCCUUCUGACUUUGGGCUGAAUCCUCACACCCAAGGCUCCAGGGGGUGGCCCAAUACCUGUCAUGCCCACAGCACUGUGCAAGCUUAUGAAUGAGUUUGCUUUGUCUCUCACUUAUCUAGGGACUUGGCCACCUCUCACAGGUGUCCACUCAGGGCUGGGGCCAUGCUGGCACCCAGGCAGGAAGGCCCAGGACUGCCUCCUGGGUGCUCACAGCCUGAUGGGAGCAGGGACAGCAGUGACAGAUGCAGCCCUAGCUGGGGGGUGUUCGUCUGCUGGUUCUGUGCCCCAUGGCUCGGCUGGUGAAACUAUCCUGGGGAGGGGCUGCAUUGCUCACCCUGUUCUCUCCAGUGUACCCAUGGAGAACCUCUGGAUCUUGUAGGCUCACCUCUUGAUACAUAUUGUGAGCAGGCUGGGCAUGUCCAGGAAGCUGAAGGGACCCCACUCCUGCAGUAGCUCAUUGCAUCAGCCUAGGAACAGAGGCCCAGGCAUGACUGCCAGCCUGCAGGCCUGCUCUGUCAGCUGUUGGGAGGCCCCUGAGGAUCUUGACUCUUCCCAUUUAGGGCUUGCAGGCCCAGGCAUGUCAUGGUGUCUUGCACAAGGGUUGUAGGCUGGGUUACAACUAGUGUAGGAGUAGGCAGAGGAGGAGGCACCAGGCUCAGCCAGCCAGCAUCACUAGAGUGCCCAACCGGGACCCCAGGGGUUGGUCUUCACUUCACCCAUGACGUCUUGAAUUCUUGGGUAACUCUUCUGGACUGUUUCCUCAUCUGAAACCUUGAGUCACCUCCUGUAGGCUUGGUUUCAUCUGAAACUGGGUGCUUAUCUUUCUUCCAUCUCCCCUUGAAGGGCUGUUGGAGGACAUCGUGAAAUCAAGGACACUGAAAGGAUUCACAAAACCAAGAGGGCUGACUGCACAGACUUGGGAGAGGAGCCCAGCCUGCAGCCCCCCCCCACCCCUGCCAAGGCCCUGGAGGCUACAGAGGGUUUCCUGAAAUGCCCAAUCACCAGGUAGACAUCGAGUUCCAAGGAUGUGCUUGUUGUUGUGGCAGGAAGGUCUGUUGUGUGCGCAGUGUUCCGUCAUGCUUGCCCAACUCCAUAUCUGGACAUAUUAUUUUAAGAACAAUCUGUAAAAGUUUCUUCUGCGUUUUGCUUCUGUAUUUCUGCUUGUCAACUCCCCUCUAGCAUCUCCUAUAAAAGGACCUCAGGCUCUGAGCCAGUUGCCUCUCUAAGCUACUUUGCUUUGGGAGUGCCGUCUGGCCAGACUAAUAAAGGUCUGUUUUACUUUCCAACUUGUCUGGUGUGUUCCUGCCAGGGUGUUCUUCGCUGCAGUCAGCUCCUCGGAGCAUUUG